rnacentral:rRNA from 1 species
AUACGGAAGGCAGUAGUGGGGAAUUUUGGACAAUGGGCGCAAGCCUGAUCCAGCAAUGCCGCGUGAGUGAAGAAGGCCUUCGGGUUGUAAAGCUCUUUUGUCAGGGAAGAAACGGCCUCAGCUAAUAUCUGGGGCUAAUGACGGUACCUGAAGAAUAAGCACCGGCUAACUACGUGCCAGCAGCCGCGGUAAUACGUAGGGUGCAAGCGUUAAUCGGAAUUACUGGGCGUAAAGCGUGCGCAGGCGGUUUUGUAAGUCUGUCGUGAAAGCCCCGGGCUCAACCUGGGAAUUGCGAUGGAGACUGCAAGGCUUGAAUCUGGCAGAGGGGGGUAGAAUUCCACGUGUAGCAGUGAAAUGCGUAGAGAUGUGGAGGAACACCGAUGGCGAAGGCAGCCCCCUGGGCCAAGAUUGACGCUCAUGCACGAAAGCGUGGGGAGCAAACAGGAUUAGAUACCCCAGUAGUCG